UUCUUACUCGUUAAUAUACGCAUUGGGUGCGUAUCCUAACCGUUUAGCGUAAAAGUCACCACUGCGCUUGGGUUGUGUAGUUGACAACCGGCCGACCCGCAGGUGAUGGUGGAGAGAGAGAGGGAGAGAGAGAGAGAGAGAGAAAGAAGAGAGAGUUGCUUAGGACUUAGGAGGGUUCGACUCAAAACCAUCGAUUUAGGAACCUUCGCGAGUCUUCGUUGCGAGAGCCAUCAUCUGGUUCCUCUGCCGACGACGAAGCUUCACAGUCAUCGAUCUUAGACUUUCGUCAUCUUCAGCCAUUAAUGAAUCAUUAAAUAGCACAUCCGAUCUGUUCACAUUGUUUCGACUUCCUCUUCUUCUUGAAUUUCGAGUUUCAUAGAAGUUUUUUAGUCUUCAGAGAGAGAGAGAGAGAGAGAGAGAGAGAGAGAGAAUGGGGGUGGAUUAUUACAAUAUCUUGAAGGUGAACAGGAAUGCUAAUGAGGAAGACCUGAAGAAGUCUUACAAGAGAUUGGCCAUGAGAUGGCAUCCAGACAAGAACCCAGAUAUCAAGAAAAGGGAAGCAGAAGCCAAAUUCAAGCAGAUCUCCGAGGCUUAUGAUGUUCUCAGCGACCCCCAGAAGCGGCAGAUCUACGAUGCAUACGGCGAGGAAGCCCUCAAGUCCGGCAAUGUCCCUCCUCCUCCUCGUUCUGGAGGUGCUACCAACUUUCGCUUCCAUCCCCGUGAUGCGGAUGACAUCUUCAACGAGUUCUUCGGUGGUUCUGAUGGUGUCGGCGGUGGUGGCCGUGGUCGUGGAUUUGGGGAGAAUUUUAGCAGGAAUCCUCAUGCGGAUGCUGCCGGUCAACCGCCUCGUAAGAUUCCGCCUGUCGAGAAGAAUCUGUCUUUUAGCCUGGAGGAACUUUACUCUGGUUCCAAACGGAAGAUGAAGAUCUCUAGGAUCGUUCCUGAUGUUUACGGCUGCAACUACAACCAACAGAACAUAUUGUGGUUCUCUUUUCUAGUUUUCUCCAUUUAUUACCACUCUUUGUUGGUGUGAGAAGGAUUCCAUAGAUUCACCAUCUUAGUCUGAGAUUGGAGUUCAGACAUACCAUGUGACAACUUACUCUGGGGAUUUUCUGGCGACCUGAGGCUAUACAAUUGUCAUAAAGCCUAAUUUAUCAGCUUCUUGUUGGACUGGUAUCUAUUGUUCUGCUGCUGGGAUAGGUGUUAUGGCCUGCUGUUUUGUCAGUGCCUGUGAUCCUGCUGUAGGUAAGGACUUCCUUGACCUAGCCCUAUAUUAGGGCGGCUUAUUAUCCUUGGUCUCCUUGUUAGUGCAACGCCUUGGGUUGCCUAGAUGCCAUGACAACUAUGGUCUAGAGAGAGCAAUUUAUUUGGUGCCAUCCGUUACUGAUGGUUUCUUUACAUUCAUCUUGAGAUUGUGUGUGUGUGUGUGAGAGAGAGAGAGAGAGAGAGCUUGGUCUCCUUGUUAGUGCAACGCCUUGGGUGGCCUAGACGCCGUGACAACUUUGGUCUAAAGAGAACAAUUUAUAUGGUGCCAUCCGUUACUGAUGGUUUCUUUACAUUGUUUCAUUUUGGUCUAUGGCAAUUUUGAUGAUUGGUUUUGAUUACAAUCCUUGAGAUUCUGUGUGUGUGCGUGUGAGAGGUGUUGUCCGCCAUGGUUGUCAAGUGUAUCAGUGAUCAAGAUAUCUCCACUGUUUUGGGAAAGCAAGACCCCAAAAUUUUGAAUGGAGUUGUUUUCUAACUAUAGAUUUCAAUAAAUAUAUCAUAUCUGUUUUUAACAAAAUCUGGAAAAUAUUUUACGCUAGAACAAACAGAUCCUUUGAAGAUUGCUUUUUGGUGAAAAAUGUUGUUUUCCUAUAGGAGGAAAAAUAUCCAGAGAAAGUGAAAAGAAAAAAAAGUAGACAAAGGAAGAGGAGUCUAAUAUACUUUUGGUUUACGUUGUUCCCCAAAUAUUUGUUGGUAAUCAUAGGGACACAAAUGAUUACACUAGAGAUUUCUGUGUUAAGAAGAAUGGCUGUAGUAGUUCAAUAAUUGAGCAUCAUCUUGCGAAUGAACAUUAGGUAGUCAAGUUGAAAUAUGCUUACAUGGAUGUUAUUUUCAAUCCUACUAUGGGCCUGGCGCUAGUUGCAAUAGAUAGCUCAUAAGUCAUGUUGUGACGUGCAAUCGGUUUCUUGAGCAAAUAGCUGUUCAUGAAUGUUGAAAAAUAUUCUUGUUAGACAUUUCUAGAAAAUUACAAGUCAAUUAUGAACUGUCUGUUGAUAAUACUUGUCUUGGGAUGUUGUAGGCUUCAUCAAUAAUACCCAUCUGCAUUUUGUCUUAGCCAUACUUCACUUUGUUACUUUUCUCCUAGUUUUCUCCUCGUUUUCUCCUUGGCUUGAUGCACUAGCACCUUU